GAAUAUUGCACAAUGGGGGAAACCCUGACGCAGCGACGCCGCGUGAGCGUAGAAGGCCUUCGGGUCGUAAAGCUCUGUCCUACUGAAAGAAACGGGCGGUACCUUAGGUGGAAGCUCCGUCUAUCUACGCGCCAGCAGCCGCGGUAAUACGUAGGGGGCGAGCGUUAUCCGGAAUUAUUGGGCGUAAAGGGUGCGUAGGCGGACUUUUAAGUAAGAUGUGAAAGGCUACGGCUUAACCGUAGUUAGCAUUUGAAACUAAAAGGCUUGAGUGCAGGAGAGGAGAGUGGAAUUCCUAGUGUAGCGGUGAAAUGCGUAGAUAUUAGGAGGAACACCAGUGGCGAAGGCGACUCUCUGGACUGCAACUGACGCUGAGGCACGAAAGCGUGGGGAGCGAAUA
rnacentral:rRNA from 1 species